CGCCUUGAAGCGCAGGUGGAAGGGGAGCGGGGGUAGAUGGGGAUGAGGUGGGAUGGAGUGGGAGGUGAAGGAAGGUGUUCUUACCGGUGUCCAGUCUCAGGCACGUUGAUGUCGUCCUGGAUGGUCUCCUUUUUCUUCUCUUCUCUCUCCUAUUUCUUUGUCUCCUUGUCCUGCAUCUUGCGCCUCAUUUUGUCCAUCUCCGUCUGCCGGUCUUGCAUACGUCUCCCAAAGAUGCCUCUUUUCUUUUUUUUUAAGUCGAGGCAGAUGUUUUCAAGGACUGUUUUGUCGUCCUCUAAUUCUUGGAUCCUGGUGAUAAGGAUCUGAUGUUCUUUGGAGAUGGUAUUCUCCAUUUGUUGGAUUGUAGAGAUCAGGCACAACUCAGUGAAACCACUGCUUGUGACCAUCUCGUGGUGGGUCUCCUCUUGGCUCUUUUUUAAAGCAGCCAGAGAAUCCCUCUGGGUCUUCAGCAGUUUGUGUUCUGCUUCCAACUGCUGCCAGGUCUCAUUGUUGACCGUGAGUUCAGCACUUUUGACAGAAAGUUGUUUUGUGGUCUCGGUGAGCUUCAGAGAUAAACCCUCGUUCUCCCUGAUGGUCUCAUCCAGAGCUUCUGUCUUGAUCUUUAGCAGUUUGUGUUCUGCUUCCAACUGUUGGUUGUUGGCCUCCUGCUUGUGCAGCUUCUCUUGAAGAGAAAUGUUGGUGGAGCGUAACCCUGUUACUUGAGACUCCAAGGACUGUUGUUGGUCAUCCAGUUCCUUGGUUGUCCUUUUCUCCAGAUCUUCAUAUUUCUGCUGCCAGGUCUCGUUGUUGCCCGUGAGUUCAGCACUUUUGACAGAAAGUUGUUUUGUGGUCUCGGUGAGCUUCAGAGAUAAACCCUCGUUCUCCCUGAUAGUCUCAUCCAGAGCCUCUGUCUUGAUCUUUAGCAGUUUGUGUUCUGCUUCCAACUGUUGGUUGUUGGCCUCCUGCUUGUGCAGCUUCUCUUGAAGAGAAAUGUUGGUGGAGAGUAACCCUGUUACUUGAGACUCCAAGGACUGUUGUUGGUCAUCCAGUUCCUUGGUUGUCCUUUUCUCCAGAUCUUCAUAUUUCUGCUGCCAGGUCUCGUUCUUGACCAUGAGUUCAGCAUUUUUGACAACGAGUUUUUCGGUCUCUCUGACCUUCAGAGAUAAAACAUUGUUCUCCCUGAUAAGGUCUGAAAACCUCUUUCUGUUCUUGUCAACCAUCUGCUCAUAGGCAAGAUCUUUUCCUUUUAACAUGUUGGUCGAUUUGAACUUCAGAGUUUCAGUGUGAGCGGUGAGUUCGCUCACUUGCCUUUUCAGGUAGUGCACUUCGUUCUGUGCACGAGAAAGGGCCAUGUUCACAUUGUAUCCGGUGGGAGGAGUCCCGAGAAGUGAAGCGCCAGCUCCAAUUCUCUGGUUGUUUCUACGGUACAUGUUAAAUGACACUUGUGUAGUCUUGAAAAAGACUGUUGGUCAGCCCUGAAAAGGGGUGUAGUCUUGAAAAAGACUGUUGGUCAGCCCUGAAAAGGGGUCUAGUCUUAAAAAAGACUGGUGUUUUAUUUGUCGCUAAAUGACUCAAUGUAACCUCUGAAAAAUGGUGAUGAAUCUUCCAAAGAACUACUUAAGUCUGUAAAGGACAAAUAUCGCAGAUACUUUCGAGAGAAAAUAUCCAACUGCACUCUUCUGGAACCAGAAACGCAAUGAUCUAGUGCAUCUAGAUACAUCAAAGGAUUUGUUGAUGAUGUCACAAUUCCGUUGUCAUGGAAAUGCAGCCCGUGUCAUAGAGUGGACUCCAUGACAACGGAAUG
ensembl:lncRNA